ACUGACAUUAAUCUUAUCUGAUGUUAAGCAUCUAGAAAUGUAUGUGAGCGGUACCUUAUGUUUGAAUCGACAUGUUUAUCAUUUAAAGCAGACCUAUUUAUGCAGCUAAGUAGGAAGAAGUGUAUGCACCCAUUAAGUCCUCUUGGGGUUAAGACAUGCAAGAUUUCAAACGGUGGAUUGUGGGAUCUUUGAAUGUACGUACAUAUGCUCUUCUUACCUG